AGGACGAACGCUGGCGGCGUGCUUAACACAUGCAAGUCGAGCGGAAAGGCCCUUUCGGGGGUACUCGAGCGGCGAACGGGUGAGUAACACGUGAGUAAUCUGCCCUUGGCUUUGGGAUAACUACCGGAAACGGUGGCUAAUACCGGAUAUGACCAUGCUCGGCAUCGGGUGUGGUGGAAAGUUUUUCGGCCAGGGAUGUGCUCGCGGCCUAUCAGCUUGUUGGUGGGGUAAUGGCCUACCAAGGCAACGACGGGUAGCUGGUUUGAGAGAACGAUCAGCCACACUGGGACUGAGACACGGCCCAGACUCCUACGGGAGGCAGCAGUGGGGAAUCUUGCGCAAUGGGCGAAAGCCUGACGCAGCAACGCCGCGUGCGGGAUGACGGCCUUCGUGGUUGUAAACCGCUUUCAGCAGGGACGAAAAUGACGGUACCUGCAGAAGAAGCCCCGGCUAACUACGUG
rnacentral:rRNA from 1 species